rnacentral:rRNA from 1 species
AGACCCGAAACCCGGUGAUCUAGCCAUGGGCAGGUUGAAGGUUGGGUAACACUAACUGGAGGACCGAACCGACUAAUGUUGAAAAAUUAGCGGAUGACCUGUGGCUGGGGGUGAAAGGCCAAUCAAACCGGGAGAUAGCUGGUUCUCCCCGAAAGCUAUUUAGGUAGCGCCUCGUGAAUUCAUCUCCGGGGGUAGAGCACUGUUUCGGCUAGGGGGCCAUCCCGGCUUACCAACCCGAUGCAAACUGCGAAUACCGGAGAAUGUUAUCACGGGAGACACACGGCGGGUGCUAACGUCCGUCGUGAAGAGGGAAACAACCCAGACCGCCAGCUAAGGUCCCAAAGUCAUGGUUAAGUGGGAAACGAUGUGGGAAGGCCCAGACAGCCAGGAUGUUGGCUUAGAAGCAGCCAUCAUUUAAAGAAAGCGUAAUAGCUCACUGGUCGAGUCGGCCUGCGCGGAAGAUGUAACGGGGCUAAACCAUGCACCGAAGCUGCGGCAGCGAACGUAUCACUUAAAGCGAUUCAGCGGGUUACGAUUGACGGAGCGAAGCGACGUCAAAGCGUAUACAAAGUCGAGUCGGUUUAAGGAUACGUUCGUUGGGUAGGGGAGCGUUCUGUAAGCCUGCGAAGGUGGCCUGUGAGGGUUGCUGGAGGUAUCAGAAGUGCGAAUGCUGACAUAAGUAACGAUAAAGCGGGUGAAAAGCCCGCUCGCCGGAAGACCAAGGGUUCCUGUCCAACGUUAAUCGGGGCAGGGUGAGUCGACCCCUAAGGCGAGGCCGAAAGGCGUAGUCGAUGGGAAACGGGUUAAUAUUCCCGUACUUGGUGUUACUGCGAAGGGGGGACGGAGAAGGCUAUGUUGGCCGGGCGACGGUUGUCCCGGUUUAAGCGUGUAGGUGUGUGUUCCAGGUAAAUCCGGUUCACUUUAACACUGAGGCGUGACGACGAGGCACUACGGUGCUGAAGCAACAAAUGCCCUGCUUCCAGGAAAAGCCUCUAAGCAUCAGGUAACAUCAAAUCGUACCCCAAACCGACACAGGUGGUCAGGUAGAGAAUACCAAGGCGCUUGAGAGAACUCGGGUGAAGGAACUAGGCAAAAUGGUGCCGUAACUUCGGGAGAAGGCACGCUGACACGUAGGUGAAGUGAUUUACUCAUGGAGCUGAAGUCAGUCGAAGAUACCAGCUGGCUGCAACUGUUUAUUAAAAACACAGCACUGUGCAAACACGAAAGUGGACGUAUACGGUGUGACGCCUGCCCGGUGCCGGAAGGUUAAUUGAUGGGGUCAGCGCAAGCGAAGCUCCUGAUCGAAGCCCCGGUAAACGGCGGCCGUAACUAUAACGGUCCUAAGGUAGCGAAAUUCCUUGUCGGGUAAGUUCCGACCUGCACGAAUGGCGUAAUGAUGGCCAGGCUGUCUCCACCCGAGACUCAGUGAAAUUGAACUCGCUGUGAAGAUGCAGUGUACCCGCGGCAAGACGGAAAGACCCCGUGAACCUUUACUAUAGCUUGACACUGAACAUUGAGCCUUGAUGUGUAGGAUAGGUGGGAGGCUUUGAAGUGUGGACGCCAGUCUGCAUGGAGCCGACCUUGAAAUACCACCCUUUAAUGUUUGAUGUUCUAACGUGGACCCGUAAUCCGGGUUGCGGACAGUGUCUGGUGGGUAGUUUGACUGGGGCGGUCUCCUCCUAAAGAGUAACGGAGGAGCACGAAGGUUGGCUAAUCCUGGUCGGACAUCAGGAGGUUAGUGCAAUGGCAUAAGCCAGCUUGACUGCGAGCGUGACGGCGCGAGCAGGUGCGAAAGCAGGUCAUAGUGAUCCGGUGGUUCUGAAUGGAAGGGCCAUCGCUCAACGGAUAAAAGGUACUCCGGGGAUAACAGGCUGAUACCGCCCAAGAGUUCAUAUCGACGGCGGUGUUUGGCACCUCGAUGUCGGCUCAUCACAUCCUGGGGCUGAAGUAGGUCCCAAGGGUAUGGCUGUUCGCCAUUUAAAGUGGUACGCGAGCUGGGUUUAGAACGUCGUGAGACAGUUCGGUCCCUAUCUGCCGUGGGCGCUGGAGAACUGAGGGGGGCUGCUCCUAGUACGAGAGGACCGGAGUGGACGCAUCACUGGUGUUCGGGUUGUCAUGCCAAUGGCACUGCCCGGUAGCUAAAUGCGGAAGAGAUAAGUGCUGAAAGCAUCUAAGCACGAAACUUGCCCCGAGAUGAGUUCUCCCUGAGACUUAGAGUCUCCUGAAGGAACGUUGAAGACGACGACGUUGAUAGGCCGGGUGUGUAAGCGCAGCGAUGCGUUGAGCUAACCGGUACUAAUGAACCGUGAGGCUUAACCUUACA